GGGCUCAUGGCGGAGUGGUUACCGCGUUGGUCUUCGACUUAUUUGAAAACCAAAGGUCCUCGGUUCGACCCCGGGUGGGCUCG
rnacentral:tRNA from 2 species